AGGAAAUGUAAUGUGCACUUUUUGGCCCCGGUCGCGGGAGCCGCUUUGGGCUUUCUGCGCAUGUGCGCGGUGUGGCUCGAGGUUUGUUUUUCUCCGGUGCAGCCUGGUAGGGAGGGCUCCCGGCAUCUCCCUGCGUCGGGGCAGAGGAUGCCGAGGGUAGAGUACCGGAGGGCUGGAGCGAGGGUGGACUGGAGGUGCCGCUUGUCCUGGAGGUGGGAGAGAGGGAGCGGCUUUGCCGCCUGGCCUGCGUCCUAAUCCUGCCCUGGUUCUUCUGCUCCCGAAGGGAACGCAGGUCCCGCGCCUGUGACAAGUAAGGUUGGAUUUUCUCUCCCCUGAGGUGAAGGAUGCCCGGAGGCCUCGGCAGGACCGCGCGGAAACGGGCCUUCUGCCCAAAAGAUGCUGCUUCUCUCCUUAUUCUUUCCCCUCAGAAUCUCGCUGUCUCCUUCCAACCACCUGUGGUCGGCAUCCCCGCGUUGUCACUGCGACGCAGAGGCGAGCGAGGGGGCGGGAAGCACCCGCGGGGCGGGGAGGGACCCUGCGGGCGCGGACUCCACACCAAGCCUCUGCUCAGCGUCACCCCGCUUGCUGUGUCCUCGCAGGUCGCAGCUUCAUGGCCUGAUGCCGUCAGGAAGUAUUUUGAAGUCAUCGUGGCUGUGGAUUGGGGGAUUUCUUGUUUCCACUGACCUGUGAGGCCGCGCACGUGGAGGGAGGCACCCCGGGUCCUCCGGCACUGUCCGGCCUCGCCUGUGUCCCUAGUAGCAGUGGGCAUUUCCAGACGGUGCAGCUUGUGGCUAAAGUGACAGGAAGAUGUAGGAGCUUUCAGUCUUGGAUGAGGAUUCGAACUGAAAGGGUUAGGCCCAGCUGUCUUGGAGCAAAACAUCUGUUGUGGGGUGAGAAGGGAAAGGGGGGGUGAGGGUGCAGGGGCCCUCCUAGGAGGACAUCGGACCUGUUGGGCCGAGACCUCAUUAGAGAUCUAGAGCACGGAUGGGAGGAGCAGAGGCUCGAUUUGUGUCCUGUCCAGACUCCCACAGGCUGGGUGAUGGUGGGAGAUUUGUGCCCAUUCAGAUGUGGCGGCAGAGGAGGGCAAGGCCGAAGGAGCAGACAGCACCGCUUCUUGGGGAGUUGUGAAGGCAUCAUGCGGAGGGCCGAGCUUAGCAGCCAAGUGGAGGACAGCAACCUCCAUGCCUGGAUUCGUUACUCGCUCGUUCUAGAUGUUGAGCUGCUGGCAUAUUGCAGCACAACUAGAGAUGUACGGAUGCCCCCAUCUUGAUCUUACAGAAUCAGAGGUGCAGCCGCAAGAAAGGUCUCUACACCCUCUCGGUUUUCUCUGCUCUGCCAACACUAGUGGAAUAUGAUCACAUCCCAGGGAUCAGUGUCAUUUAGGGAUGUGACUAUGGGCUUCACUCAAGAGGAGUGGCAGCAUCUGGACCCUGCUCAGAGGACCCUGUACAGGAAUGUGAUGCUGGAGAACUACAGCCACCUUGUCUCAGUAGGUAGGUAGGAAUUGUUUCCCAUGUAGAAGGCCA
rnacentral:lncRNA from 1 species